rnacentral:rRNA from 1 species
UAGAACGUCGUGAGACAGUUCGGUCCCUAUCUGCCGUGGGCGCUGGAGAACUGAGGGGGGCUGCUCCUAGUACGAGAGGACCGGAGUGGACGCAUCACUGGUGUUCGGGUUGUCAUGCCAAUGGCACUGCCCGGUAGCUAAAUGCGGAAGAGAUAAGUGCUGAAAGCAUCUAAGCACGAAACUUGCCCCGAGAUGAGUUCUCCCUGAGACUUUARGUCUCCUGAAGGAACGUUGAAGACGACRACGUUGAUAGGCCGGGUGUGUAAGCGCAGCGAUGCGUUGAGCUAACCGGUACUAAUGAACCGUGAGGCUUAACCUUACAACGCCGAAG